rnacentral:rRNA from 1 species
AUGGAGGGUUCAGACGACAACAACGCGGAUGAUCUGCUGGUGCACUACUCGUUCUUCCCUCAGGUAAACGCGAAUCACAUCUCGUCCAUGAGCAGCCACUGUCGCGACUGCGGCACCCGUUGCCGUUGUCUGUGGUUUCAGCGGCACCUCCUUCCCUCAUCGUGCUGCUGGCGCGUGCUCCUUGUCCCCUCGUCGUGUCGCUGCCGCGUCUUUCUUGUGGCCGCGCUGCUGGCACCCAUGUCGGUGGUGUCGACUGUCGGUGUUAUACAUCUACGAUCUUUGCUCGACUUCCAUCUUUUAAUUUUGCUUCCUAUUUUAGUGCAGCAUCCGCGAGUGGUUACGUUAAGCAAGAAGAUGAUGUUCGAGAUCGUCGCGCCGCAGCUGACUGGUGUGGAAGAAUACAGUGGUCGAAGAGGUGACGCCGAAUGUGUUCGUUGA